AACGCGAAGAACCUUACCUGGGUUUGACAUGUACCGAAAAGCCAUAGAGAUAUGGUGUCCUUCGGGGCGGUACACAGGUGGUGCAUGGCUGUCGUCAGCUCGUGUCGUGAGAUGCUGGGUUAAGUCCCGCAACGAGCGCAACCCUCGUCCUAUGUUGCCAGCACGUAAUGGUGGGGACUCGUAGGAGACCGCCGGGGUCAACUCGGAGGAAGGUGGGGAUGACGUCAAGUCAUCAUGCCCCUUAUGUCCAGGGCUUCACGCAUGCUACAAUGGCCGGUACAAAGAGCUGCGAGCCUGUGAGGGUGAGCGAAUCUCAGAAAGCCGGUCUCAGUUCGGAUUGGAGUCUGCAACUCGACCCCAUGAAGUCGGAGUCGCUAGUAAUCGCAGAUCAGCAACGCUGCGGUGAAUACGUUCCCGGGCCUUGUACACACCG
rnacentral:rRNA from 1 species